UCCCAUGUGACAAAUGUGCACUGUUCACUUUCAUUUUCCAUUCUGCAGUAGGAGUUCCAGCUCCCUUCCUGCAUGUUUCAGAAGCAAAUCAAGAGCAAAUCACAGACUUUUGGUCACCGAUAGGUUUUGAACUUGGGAAAGCAAACAAUGGGGAAAGAACAGAGUAAGCUAGCACAGGAAGGCUAUGUGCUAUCAAAACAAGCUGAAGACUGUGCUAUUGCCACUAAAGGAAAUGAUUCUUUUUUCAUUAAGAUGAUUAAUCUAAAUCAGCUACCCAGUGAAGCUGUUACUACCUUAACUUCAGAGAUUGAAACUCUCCAGAAAUUAAACCACCCUCACGUUGUGGACAUGAAGCAAUCAUUUAAAGAUGUGCAACAAAGCAUUUAUUAUGUCGU